GAAGUUGGUAGCUCAGUGGUAGAGUGCAUGUGUAUGACGUCCUGGGUUCAAAUCUCAGCUACUCCC